rnacentral:lncRNA from 1 species
CUAAGCCCUUCUUCAUGAAUGCGCGAGAUCGUCUCCAACUCUGUCAUUGAAAGUGCAUCCAGACCAGCACCGUACAGAGGAGCAUGCCUAGACAUUUCUUCCCGGAGUUGAGUAUCGAGUGAUUGGAUAUAUUCCUGCAAAGAGGAGGUGAAAUCUAAGCAACAAAGAGAAAGCAGGACAACCCAAAUUAAUACUAAAGCAUAUGCUUGAAUGAGUUGUUGGCACAAACCUGGUAGGCUUCCAAUCGUGCUUGCAUACCAUGAAUACGUUCUUCAUAUUCAGCAAUCCGCUCAUCUUUUUUCCGCUUUUCUCCUUCAGUUUGUCCCACUGUUUGUCUCAAUCUUCUAAUCUCGUCCUCAAGGGACUGCCGAAUCUGUUCUCCAGUCACAUUUUCCAUCUCGUACCGCUUCGGCUCUUCAUCAGAUCUUUUCCUCCCAGCUUCCGCACUCUUCAGCCUUUCAGCAAGGGGGUCCUUUUCCUCUGCCACUUUCUGUUCCAUUCACAUAUUUUGGUUGAAAAGACAUCAAUUAGCAUAUUUCCUAAGGCAGGAAAAAAGGAGAUAAAUCCAAUUCAUCCAACUCCACCCUGGUCAUCCAAAGCAAUUUCCCAUGCAAUCUUCUGAAAAAACACUAGCCAAUAGAUAAUAUUUUCCCCUUCUUGGAGAGAUGUAGGCAACACAUAUAAACCAAAACCAAGACCUCUUGAGACUUAGUAAGAGAAGCCAUCACUAAGCCAAAUCCUUACUCCCUCACAUGGGAAAUGCAAUGUUUAGAAAUGCACAAGUUGACAUGAAAAGAAAGCAAAAGAACUUGAUUAAGGAUAAAUAAAGCGACAGAAGCAGUGAAAGACAACCUCCAAUUCUUCACUAUGACGAGUCUUCAGCUGCAAAAUCUCCGACUCUGCAUCAUGAAGACGAUCUUGAAGGGCCUCCUUCUCAGAAGUGAGCUUUGCAAUUUCCUCCGCUCUCUCAGAGCGAAGCUCCUCAAGCUGGUUCUCUAGGUCCUGGACUUGGUCAGAUAAUUCUUUCUUUUCUCGUGCAAAACGAUCCAUCUCAGCCUCCAUCUCAGACUGCCAAUUAUAGAAAGUGUCAAACAAAAACUUGCCACGAAGAAUCGACACACCACGUCAAAGCAAUCGCAUACCUAGGUCAAGAAGUAAAACAAAUUAGUUACCGCGUGGCGUUGGACACGCGAGCACUCCUCGAAGAAGCUGCGAUCAUAAGAAACGGGAAGAGCUAAAUUAAUCCAGCUUUAACUCAUAAAAGCGUAUGAUUUUCACUUAUUCAUUGAAGCUAAAGCAGCGACUUACACUGGCAAAAUGGGAGCAAAAAGUAGAACCACUCAAAAAGCAACCCAAUCUUCGCUUUCUCUCUCUUUUUCACACACACACACACACACAAAUGUCAGAAAAAGCUGAAAAGAACAUGGAACAAUUGCCCAAGACGAAGAAAAACACCAAAACUAGCAGUCUCGAUGAAAACCCAGAAGCCACAAUCUUCACAGAAAGCCAACAGGUCGGUUCAACAGCCCAUUUCGCAGAACAAGAUCUCAUCGCGAGAAAACCCACCGCCCCCAUCCCGGAGGUAACCCAAGAAAAGAAGAGAAAAAGUCCACGCCUUCACGCGUUGACUCGACAAGAAACGCAAUAACACAGGAGGGGAAAACGCGAAAAGAGCGGAGCUCACGAGAUUGGCGUUGUUCCCGCGAGCCCAAUCAACGCGGAACUAGUGCUACCCAGAAGACCCAGAAGGUAAAAAAAACACGACGACUUCGACGAUGGAGAGAUGGAAGAAAUAGAGAGAGAGAGAGAGAGAGAGAGAGAAAAUCAGAACCUGCCACGGCCAAAUUGCAGCGCGGGAUGCGAUCGGUUGGAGAAUCUGUCCUCGGCGCAGGAGCUUUCAAUGCAUCCCCACUUCACUCAUUCCUCUCUCUCUCUCUCUCUCUCUAUAUCUGCGAAUUGUGGCUGUGGAGGGAAUCGGAGGAGAAGAAGAACAACGACGUUGUCCCUGGCUCCGCUGUUCAGUUCAGGCCAAAUGACAAAGGAACAAGAGAGAGAAAUGGAUCUUUCUAAGGCGGUGGUGGGAUGCUGCGGGAUACGUCUCUGCUGACAGUGACAGAUUUUGGCAUGUUGGUCCAAUUUUUUAAAUGAGAACGUGAAGAAGUGUUUCUUUUUCUUAAAAGAGUUAUUAUUAAAAAAAAAUCAUGAAUUGAUAAAUUUAUGAUAAAUUUACUUUACAUAAAUUUUCGUCAAAUGUGAUGGUUGACAAAUUUAUCGAUUUGAGAUUUCACCUUGGUUUGUUAGUUUAUGAUUUUCUGUGAUAUUUAUUGAACUUAAUGAAUACUAAUGGUAUGUGAGGUAGUGGGAGGAAAGAAGUACGGAAAAGAAAAAUGAAAUAAAUUUGAGACCGGGGUUUGGGGUGGAUCCUGAGAGGAUUUUUUUCUAUCAGAAAAAUAAAUAAAUGAGAUAAAAAAUAAUUUCGAAAGAUAAAAGUAUCAAAUAUUGAAUAAUGAUAAAUUUCCGUCAUUAUAUAAGAUUAUGACUUAUUUAAAUAAAUUUAUUCUAAUUUUUCAUUAAUCAUUAAUUUUAUCAAUAAUUUUUAUUAAAGUUAAAAACAUGUCUUCAAAAAUAGAUAUGCAUUAAUAUGAAUAUGUCUUUCGAAUUUUCAAUAAAUAGAUUUAUUAAUAAUAUUAUUAUAAAUUCAUUGAAGAUUCUUUUUAUUAUUUAUUUUUUUGUAAAUUUGAAUCAAAUUAAUUAAAAAUAAGAAUAUUUAUUUAAUAUACAACGUGUCUUAAAGUGUCGGAUUCUUUAUUUUUUAGAAAUGAUUUGUCGACGUAUCGUAUCGUGUCGUGUCGUGUCGUAUAUUCGCAUCGCGUGUUCGUGUCGUCAAUGCUAUAAUGUAAUUGAACCUUCGGCCACAUCCAUUCCUCCUGCCAGAUUUUUUCGAAAUGGACAAAUCCUGAUUUCCAUGCCUUCGGCCACAUUCAUCGAACCUACCCUUUGAUUGCAACGUCGGAUCAUGCCGACUAGACGCGUGAUUAGGAAUUUCAAGAAAUUGGUCAUGCUGAACGUAACUUCCUUACGGCAUAUCCCAAUGCAAAUCUUUCAAAUACAGGUAUUAAUGAAUUGGGAUGAGAAUUUUUGAACGUUAAUUUAAUGUGCAAUAUUGUUCUUAAAUGCUUAAUUUGUUCAAUGUUGUUUAUGAACUAUUCAUAAAUGUUGGAUGUUUUCCUUCAUCUUACUCAAAUGACAAAUCGGACUUCUCUAGAUGGAAUGGAUUAUUAUGAAGAUGAAUUAAUAUGUCUAUCCUUGUAUCCAUCUACUUUAAAAAAAGAGAAAUAAAAUUAUAGCGUUGAUAUACCCAUCUUUAUUUGGUGACGUGAAUUAUUAUAUCUUGAUUUCAGGUAAAUAUUUUACGUGGGUAGUUUAGGUGUAGUUUUUUUUUUUUUUUAAUUUGAGCCAUAUCAACAUAUUUUAUUAACUUGAAUUAACAGAAAUAACAAUAUUUAACAAUUUUAUAUAAUUUAUGGGCUAUAUUAAUUAUUUGCCAAUUGUUGAUAGAUCAUAUUAACGAAUUAAAAAAAUUUAGUCCAAAACUUAGGAAUCAUUUGUGUCAUUUUCCCUAAUAAAUUUAAAGGAUAGGUUCACUAAAAAUCCUAAAAUUGGUCACAAAGGUACAAUUGAGUCCUAAAAUUUAUAAAAAGUACAGCUAAGUACUAAAACUUAUCAAAUUAGUUCAAUCAAAAUCUUUCAUUAAUUCCGUCCAAUCUAACUAAUGAAAAAUGCCAACGUGGCGAUGAUGUGGCUUUUUCUAAAAGUACUUUAAUACAAAUUUAAUUUAAAUAAUUUAAAAAAAAACUAAUUUAAAAAGGUCAAAGUCUGGUAUAAUAAUCAAACGGCAUUAACCCACAAAAUACAAUCUCCCGAGCACCAGAGCGGCCGAAAUUAUCUUCAAUGUUGAAAAGGGCAACUAGGAGAAAUCGGACAAUGAUGUCGUAAGAGUAAAGUCUUUUCACGAGCUUGAUAAGGUCAACGUCCAACAUGUCCGAAGGAAAACUUUGCAGUUCAAUGGAUGAGAGAGAUUAGGAUCUUUCCGAGUACUUGACUCGAUGAAAGACGCAUGAGAUCAGGCUACAAUUGUCACAUGAUGUGUUAUUUCGGAAAGAACGAAUGAUUCGAUUUAAUUUCAUAGAUUGUGAGCAUCGCAAUGUAAUUUUCUCCACAAAGUCUCUUGAGAAAGUUAAAUCAAAUGGAGGGUAAUUAGCAUAUGAUAUCUUAGCUCUAUCGUAAAAGCAAUUCAUGUUGCUCCAACGAGAAUGAACUACGCCUUAAUUGUUUGAAAAGUCAUAAAGCUAUAUUUGGAAGUUAAUUCAAUUUUAAGUUAUUAAAUUGUGCCAAUUUAGUCAUAAACAUUUAGACAGUUUAUCAAUUUAGUCAUUUUGAUCAAUUUUGACUAGAACUCACUAAGGUCAUUCUAUGUGGCACUUGCACUAAUAUGAAUAAUUUUUUUUGUUUGUUCAUUUCUUCUUCAUCGGUCAAGAAGAGGAAAAUUUCAAAAUAAAAUAAAAUAAAAAAUUUACUCAUGCCAAUUUACCACGUAUGAUGGAUGGUUUCUACAAUAGCAAUUUUCGACCAAUAUUGCCUAGAAUGACAAUAUUAACAAUUCGUGAAAAUAUUUAUAAUUAAAUUGGUAUAAUUGAAAAUGUUAUAAUCGAACUGACUGUUAUAUAAUAGAUUUAUGAUUUUUUAGAUAAUUUUUCCAAUUAACGACAAUUGUGCAUCUCAAGAGUUGACAUUGUCAACGGCCGAAUACUUCGGGGGCAAAUCAUGUGAAUGGGAGCUCUGUGUAAAGUUGCUAGUCAAGUUCUCUACUGUCUUACGUGUUGUAUGAAUUUCAAGAUGAGAAGAUUUGAAGAUGAUGAUGAUGAUGAUGCUUAUGGAUAGAUUCGGUGGGGUCUGAAAUUUUCAAUUGCUUAGUUACCACACACAAGCGGGUAUUAUCCACUUAGAAAAAGCGUGUGACAAAGUUUCUUGCCUUGUACCCGACGUGAUAAUAAUGGAUGAGGCAAGAACCGUGACGUGGCACGUCAUUGUCUAGCUCAGCUGACUCGUUCUUCCACAGUGGACUUUUUGCAAUCAUCAAUACCUAAUCUGGAUUCUGAGGCCUAAACCAUAAGCAGUUGUCUUCCUCAGAUUUCAGCAUGAUCCACACGUUGUUUCUAAUCUGAUUUGACAUUUUGGGAUUUCUAUCGUAGAUUCGUUAAAAGGCCCGUGUUUUAUUCAAGGCCCAGCAGUUGCGGCCUCGACUCAACCGGGGCACCUCUCGUGGAUCUCUUUUUUUGGCCCAUCGUUUCUAGAAGCAGACCAGCAAUUCUUGUUACCUUGGUUCAUAUCAACUUCUGAUAUCUCCAUGUUGUCUAAAUAAGCCGGCGUUAGCUUCUAAUAAGUCACGGCGCGUUCGAGAGUUUUGAGCCAUGCUCGAGUCUUGUGGUGUCGUGUGGUGUCACCCGUGCUAAACAGAGUCGUGUGGUGUCACCCGUGCUAAACAGCUCGAAAGCAUUAGUAUUUACAAGAAAGAAAAGUUCAGACUCUUAUCAAGGUUAAGAGCUGGCAGUUUUGAGAAACUGGGUAUCUGCUCCACAAAUCACUUCUUCUUCUUCAGAGAGAGAGAGAGAGAAUAUGAGACACUUUUGCAAAAUUUGUCGGAACCUAUAAUUGAUCAUAUGAAGAAAUAUUUAAAAAGGCAGGCAUGGCAUUUUAACCGUCAGUCCCACAGGACUAGAUACCAAAUCUAAUCCCCCCCUUCUCCGUCCAGCUAUCUAUCAGUCACAACAGCCCUUUCACCAGCAACUCAUCCCAACAGUCCCGCCAGUCAAAAUGCCAAAUAAAUUCCAGUCUCAGAAAAUCAUCAUCACUCCACUUUCAAUGCAAAACAGAUCCCAGGUGGAUAGGGUAGGGCAUCCCGCAAUGACUCCAGGGCUCUCUACUUGUGAUUGAACCAGGGACCCAUCGCACCGUUGACGUGCCUGUUGCUGUGGUGCAUCCCUAUGCCAUUGGGCAUGACGGAAGGGGGAAGCCCCGCCGCCACUGGAGGGGGCACAGUCGGAUACAACCCCUGAUCGUGCGGCGGUAGCGUGUGGGGACUCACAAUAGGACUGCUAAGAGGGCUGCCCUUACGUUGUUGCUGAAUGGCGUGGAUCUGCCUAAGCCCCACUUCAUGAAUGCACGAGAUCGUCUCCAACUCUUUCAUUGAAAGUGCAUCCAGAUCAGCACCGUACAGAGGAGCAUGCCUAGACAUUUCUUCCCCGAGUUGAGUAACGAGUGAUUGGAUGCAUUCCUGCAAAGAGGAGGUGAAAUCUACGCAACAAAGAGAAAGCAGGACAAUCCAAAUUAAUACUAAAGCAUAUGCUUGAAUGAGAGUAGUUGGCACAAACCUGGUAGGCCUCCAAUCGUGCUUGCAUACUAUGAAUACGUUCU